AAUUGGAGGGCAAGUCUGGUGCCAGCAGCCGCGGUAAUUCCAGCUCCAAUAGCGUAUAUUAAAGUUGUUGCAGUUAAAAAGCUCGUAGUUGAAUUUCGGGGUCAGCAGGUUGGUCGUGCCACUGGUAUGUACUAGCCUUGCUGAUUCCUCCCUCUUGAUGAGCCGUAAUGCCAUUAAUUUGGUGUUGCGGGGAAUCAGGACUGUUACUUUGAAAAAAUUAGAGUGUUUAAAGCAGGCAUGCGCUUGAAUACAUUAGCAUGGAAUAAUGAAAUAGGACGUUUGAUCCUAUUUUGUUGGUUUCUAGGAUUGACGUAAUGAUUAAUAGGGAUAGUUGGGGGCAUUAGUAUUCAAUUGUCAGAGGUGAAAUUCUUGGAUUUAUUGAAGACUAACUACUGCGAAAGCAUUUGCCAAGGAUGUUUUCAUUAAUCAAGAACGAAAGUUAGGGGAUCGAAGACGAUCAGAUACCGUCGUAGUCUUAACCAUAAACUAUGCCGACUAGGGAUCGGAUGAUGUUAAUUUUUUAAUGACUCAUUCGGCGCCUUACGGGAAACCAAAGUGU
rnacentral:rRNA from 1 species